rnacentral:rRNA from 1 species
ACAGACUACAGGGAUUGCCCCAGUAAUGGCGAAUGAAGCGGCAAGAGCCCAAAUUUGAAAUCGGGCAACCGAGUUGUAAUUUGGAGACGGGACACUAGAGAGGAGGAAGGCGAUUAAGUGCCUUGGAACAGGCUGCCGUAGAGGGUGAGAGCCCCGUGAAUCGCUGGAGACCGAUCAAUUAGUGCCCGCCGAAGAGUCGAGUUGUUUGGGAAUGCAGCUCUAAGUGGGUGGUAUAUUCCAUCUAAGGCUAAAUAUUAGCGAGAGACCGAUAGCAAACAAGUACAGUGAUGGAAAGAUGAAAAGAACUUUGGAAAGAGAGUGAAAUAGUACGUGAAAUUGUUGAAAGGGAAGGGUAUUUGAUCCGACAUGGUGUUUAGCAGCGGCCCGUUCCUCGUGGAUGGGUGCACCUGGUUUACACUGGGCCAGCAUCGGUUCUGGGAGCCAUAUACGGGGUUCGUGAAUGUGGCCCUUCGAUUCUGUCGGAGGGUGUUAUAGCGCGGACAUCUUGUGGCUAGCCGGGACCGGGGACUGCGGUGACUUGUCACCAAGGAUGCUGGCAGAACGAG